rnacentral:rRNA from 1 species
UAAGCAUGAAGCCCCCCUCAAGAUGAGAUUUCCCAACUUCGGUUAUAAGAUCCCUCAAAGAUGAUGAGGUUAAUAGGUUCGAGGUGGAAGCAUGGUGACAUGUGGAGCUGACGAAUACUAAUCGAUCGAAGACUUAAUCAA